UUGAACGCUGGCGGCAGGCCUAACACAUGCAAGUCGAGCGGUAGCACAGAGAGCUUGCUCUCGGGUGACGAGCGGCGGACGGGUGAGUAAUGUCUGGGAAACUGCCUGAUGGAGGGGGAUAACUACUGGAAACGGUAGCUAAUACCGCAUAAUGUCGCAAGACCAAAGUGGGGGACCUUCGGGCCUCAUGCCAUCAGAUGUGCCCAGAUGGGAUUAGCUAGUAGGUGGGGUAACGGCUCACCUAGGCGACGAUCCCUAGCUGGUCUGAGAGGAUGACCAGCCACACUGGAACUGAGACACGGUCCAGACUCCUACGGGAGGCAGCAGUGGGGAAUAUUGCACAAUGGGCGCAAGCCUGAUGCAGCCAUGCCGCGUGUGUGAAGAAGGCCUUCGGGUUGUAAAGCACUUUCAGCGGGGAGGAAGGCGUUAAGGUUAAUAACCUUGGCGAUUGACGUUACCCGCAGAAGAAGCACCGGCUAACUCCGUGCCAGCAGCCGCGGUAAUACGGAGGGUGCAAGCGUUAAUCGGAAUUACUGGGCGUAAAGCGCACGCAGGCGGUCUGUCAAGUCGGAUGUGAAAUCCCCGGGCUCAACCUGGGAACUGCAUUCGAAACUGGCAGGCUAGAGUCUUGUAGAGGGGGGUAGAAUUCCAGGUGUAGCGGUGAAAUGCGUAGAGAUCUGGAGGAAUACCAGUGGCGAAGGCGGCCCCCUGGACAAAGACUGACGCUCAGGUGCGAAAGCGUGGGGAGCAAACAGGAUUAGAUACCCUGGUAGUCCACGCCGUAAACGAUGUCGAUUUGGAGGUUGUGCCCUUGAGGCGUGGCUUCCGGAGCUAACGCGUUAAAUCGACCGCCUGGGGAGUACGGCCGCAAGGUUAAAACUCAAAUGAAUUGACGGGGGCCCGCACAAGCGGUGGAGCAUGUGGUUUAAUUCGAUGCAACGCGAAGAACCUUACCUGGUCUUGACAUCCACAGAACUUUCCAGAGAUGGAUUGGUGCCUUCGGGAACUGUGAGACAGGUGCUGCAUGGCUGUCGUCAGCUCGUGUUGUGAAAUGUUGGGUUAAGUCCCGCAACGAGCGCAACCCUUAUCCUUUGUUGCCAGCGGUUAGGCCGGGAACUCAAAGGAGACUGCCAGUGAUAAACUGGAGGAAGGUGGGGAUGACGUCAAGUCAUCAUGGCCCUUACGACCAGGGCUACACACGUGCUACAAUGGCAUAUACAAAGAGAAGCGACCUCGCGAGAGCAAGCGGACCUCAUAAAGUAUGUCGUAGUCCGGAUUGGAGUCUGCAACUCGACUCCAUGAAGUCGGAAUCGCUAGUAAUCGUAGAUCAGAAUGCUACGGUGAAUACGUUCCCGGGCCUUGUACACACCGCCCGUCACACCAUGGGAGUGGGUUGCAAAAGAAGUAGGUAGCUUAACCUUCGGGAGGGCGCUUACCACUUUGUGAUUCAUGACUGGGGUG
rnacentral:rRNA from 1 species